ACCGGGCGUUAGAAACAGCACGGCGGAAUAUUAUAUCUCGUUAUGAUUUUCCUCGCAGAGUUAUUCGACGACCCGUGGAAUUUGCUUACUCCGAUUUAAAGGGUUUGUUUGCUCAGGACACACUAUAAUACUUUGCCACGAACCACCGGGACCGGAAGAGAACGAAUUCUCAUCCUCCCAUCUUUUUCACAGGAUUUCCGGACGUCGUCGUUCUGACGGCAAAAGAGCCGUAGACUUUGGCGUGCAGAGGUCUGAUGUUCGAAAGAGACGAAUAGAAAGAAAGAAAGAGGGAACGAGUGAGGGAGGGAUAGCGCAAGAAGGAUGGAGAGGUGGACUAUAUCUGUGGCGGCGCUUAUACACGUAGAUCGUAUACAAUGGUCCGCGUCCAUGGAGGCAAGAGGAAGUUAAAAUGUUGGGAACGUGCAGCGUGAAAUCUUUUCUACGAUAUAAUUUGUGGUCACGAAUACAAUUUCUUUUGUAUAAGAGCGCAAGCUUCGAGAGGAAGGAAGGAUGAAAAACUCACGCUGCUUGACUAUACCGCAGAGACAUGAAGUUAUUGGAAUUUCUUCAACAAUACAAACUUGCUGUUGUCCAUUUCUGAAUAAAAACAUUACAACUGUU